rnacentral:misc_RNA from 1 species
UUUUUUUUUUUUUAUAAUCUCCCCUAACUUAUUUAAUUGCCCUUUCGUUUUAAGUUAUAAAUUUUCUAUUAGUGAAGUCGGGUGCGACACAAUUAAUAGUCACGGUAGCAACCAACAUCUUCUUUGGUGGUUUUACUUCCCAUGUCAUGCUCUUCUUGCUGCUCUUUGUUUUGGUGCAGAUGGCUUCCGGUUUUCUUUUGGUGGUAGCAUUAUGGCAUUUUUAUGUUUCUUCCGGUCCUCUUGUUCUCCUAGUUGGAUGCCUUAUUUUGGUUUUGCCUACCAUUGUAUAUUUUUAGUUGGUAAUCCUUCAAGAGCGUCUGCUUUCUGUGUCUGUGGAGAAGGCAUCCCAUCUUUCUAGUCUCCAUCUAAAGGUGGGAAAGCUCCAGUCGGUGGUGGCAUUGGUGCUUUUGGUGGAUCAAAACCAUUUCCACUAUGAAAAUCCUGUCAUUGUGUGUUUUUGUUUCAGGCGAAGAAUCUAUAAUUCUGUUUAUUUUGAAUUUGGUAGCUGCUGCCAUGUGUUGUGUGUUGAAGCAAUCAAUUCAAGGGUUGGAGUUCUGUUGAUUGUUGGUGGUGGCUCUCUUCAUGCGAGAUCAUGUGGCUUUUGUCACAUGGAUUUGCUAUUAAGUUGAUUGUUCCGGCUGUGUUUUCUAUUUUGCUUUCUCUGUUAUCUUAGCUUUGACUAUUUUGUAGGUUUUUGCAUCUUUUUGUCUUUAGUUUAGGUGGGCAUAUUGAAGAGAAUCGGUUGGUCUGGA